AUGAAGGAAGGGAGACAAAGACGAUAGAUGUUUGAUAGGAAAGAAGAAGCAAACCACACCAGAGCAUGCGCAGCCUCUCUUAUAACGACAGUAUUGUCGGGACCAGAAAAAUAAUGUCGUUAUUAUAGAGGGUUGUUGUAGAGGGUUGUUAUAGAGGGUUGUUAUAGAGGGUUGUUGUAGAGGGUUGUUGUAGAGGGUUGUUAUAGAGAGGCAACAAGAAAUGACUAAUGAUAUAUAAGGGGAAAAAUCCGGACCGGGGCACCAUGUGGCUAUACAGAGGAUGUGGUUCUAUCGGAGGUCGUUCUAGAGCGACCAUGUGGCUAUACAGAUGAUGUGGUUCUAUCGGAGGUCGUUCUAGAGCGACCAUGUGGCUAUACAGAGGAUGUGGUUCUAUCGGAGGUCGUUCUAGAGCGACCAUGUGGCUAUACAGAGGAUGUGGUUCUAUCGGAGGUCGUUCUAGAGCGGCUGCACUCUAGUUUUCUCCCUUUUACUUCCCCUCUCAGGAAGAAUUCACACCCGACGUGGGAGGAGAUUCACGUGGGAUUUCUUUUUUAGGAGGAGAAUCUUUUCCCUCCUGGCGCUGACAAAGUCAAUUGAAGUGAUUGCGGAAGAACUGACUUGGAAAAGGAGGAUCUUUUUCCCUCAUUGUUGUAGUCUUAGGCUCUGAGAAACUGAGGUGAAGUGAGUGAAGAACUAGAAGAACUGAUUUGUUUGUUUGUUGUUUUAGUAGAGUUUUUACGGCGCUCACAACUGCAUAAGGUCAUAUGAGCGCCAGAAAUGAUUUGUGAUAGAGAAGGCGUUCUGUCAUGAUGUAGAAGGAUGGUUUUUCUACACUUGCUUUUACAGUUAUAAAAUUUUUUUGUCUUUUUUUUUUUUUCAACCCAAAAUCAAGCAGUUUCUGAAAAAAAAAUUAUUAUAAGAUGGAUGAAAUGAAACAAGCGAAACUUAGGUUGAAACAGACGGGCAAAAACAAAUAAUUGUGACUUACGCCAUUUUCCCCUGUACACCUCAAAUGGAAACACGACUUAUUGGAGCAGCAUUAUCUGGAUUC